UAUCGUUGUGUGAGUGAGCGCGUCAC
rnacentral:sRNA from 1 species